UACGAAGGGGGCUAGCGUUGUUCGGAUUUACUGGGCGUAAAGCGCACGUAGGCGGAUUGUUAAGUCGGGGGUGAAAUCCUGGAGCUCAACUCCAGAACUGCCUUCGAUACUGGCAAUCUCGAGUCCGGAAGAGGUAAGUGGAACUCCUAGUGUAGAGGUGGAAUUCGUAGAUAUUAGGAAGAACACCAGUGGCGAAGGCGGCUUACUGGUCCGGUACUGACGCUGAGGUGCGAAAGCGUGGGGAGCAA
rnacentral:rRNA from 1 species